AUGAGGACCAGAAUUUGUCCCCUACCAUCACUCACAGGGGCUCGGAAAGGAGCCCAAGGGGCUCAGCAGAAAGCCACUGGCAGCAGAGGGUCCGUCGGGGCUGGCUGGAGGCUCAGCUGCCCCUCGGGGGGACCAGCCAGAAGCGGGGGUGCUGAGCAGGAUGGGGCUGGUCCACACUCCUCUGCUGCGGCCAGCUCCUCGCAGUUCAUCUCUCCAGAUUUCCUAGUAUUUGUUCUCUUGUUCUGGGAAGAGGAGAGAGCUGCAAGAGGCCCAUCUCACAGGGACGAUCAGAGAAAGGAAAGUCCAUUGUGCGAAAGAAUUUGGUAUUUCAGGGUUUGUUUUCCUUCUGACAAAGAACAAAACACCACCAUGUCAAAACCCUCCGUAAGGCAAAACAGAACAACAACACAGAAGAAAAACAAAGCUAGCAGCGGUGUUCGCUUUGGACGUGAUCGGUGGAAGUGUUUCUCCUCGCUUUUUGGCUUUCCCAUCUCAGAAUACCUACCGCCGCAACUAUGUCAGGAAAAGGGGGAGAAAAAAAGGGAAACGAAAUCCAGGUCGGAGCCGAGAAGGGAGCCUUUCCCUGCACCAAGGUCCGGGGGGGCUCUGGGCACCGUCACAGUCCUGCUGCCCACCCCGGUGGGUUCCCAGACCCAACCCACCCCUCUUUCUGCCCUAGCUGGGGAGCGGGGUGUGCGCCCUAAGUGGCAGCAGCCCACAAGGACAGCGGCAGCGCUGCUUGCACCCGCUCGCCUGGAGCAGAAGGACUUGUGCGGGGCAGAGGCAAGACGUUUUAGAAAGGUGGGGUGCAAGGCUUGGCUCCCAGCGAUGCAACGGGGGGAAGGCACGGAUGCGUGUGGUGCUUUGGGUCAGACCCUUCACGGAAGGAGCUCCCAGCCCAGCUUCCCAGCCUCCCCGCCAGCCCGGGUGGCUUCGUGCCUCCCCCGGUGCUUUCAGCCCCUGGGACGAUGCCGUUCUGGGGGCACCGGGGCUCGGACGUUGUCCCCCCGGGGGGUGACCCGCUUGCAGCUCGCCGCCGCCUCUCUCCGCCAGCGUUUUCGGAGAGCUUGGCGCGGCGCCCGGCAGCCUUUCACUGCUGCCUUUUCAUCCGCCUCAAUUCCCUGCCUUCCCUCUCUUGCUCCUCGCGAGGAACAGAGGCAGAGCUUGUUCCAGCAGCCGGGCCCCAUCCGCUCCUCCCGAGGAGCGAGGGCCGGGAAGGAGGGACGGAAGGGACGGAGGCGAGGGGGUCUCUCCCACCCCUCCGGGGCCCCCGCGGGUGCGCUGCUUCCCAGCAAAUACGGUAAAAAAAAAAAAAAAAAAAAAAAAAAAAAAAAAAAAAAGCCUUCAGCCUAA
ensembl:lncRNA